rnacentral:rRNA from 1 species
GGAGAAUGUUAUCACGGGAGACACACGGCGGGUGCUAACGUCCGUCGUGAAGAGGGAAACAACCCAGACCGCCAGCUAAGGUCCCAAAGUCAUGGUUAAGUGGGAAACGAUGUGGGAAGGCCCAGACAGCCAGGAUGUUGGCUUAGAAGCAGCCAUCAUUUAAAGAAAGCGUAAUAGCUCACUGGUCGAGUCGGCCUGCGCGGAAGAUGUAACGGGGCUAAACCAUGCACCGAAGCUGCGGCAGCGACGCUGAUGCGUUGUUGGGUAGGGGAGCGUUCUGUAAGCCUGCGAAGGUGGCCUGUGAGGGUUGCUGGAGGUAUCAGAAGUGCGAAUGCUGACAUAAGUAACGAUAAAGCGGGUGAAAAGCCCGCUCGCCGGAAGACCAAGGGUUCCUGUCCAACGUUAAUCGGGGCAGGGUGAGUCGACCCCUAAGGCGAGGCCGAAAGGCGUAGUCGAUGGGAAACGGGUUAAUAUUCCCGUACUUGGUGUUACUGCGAAGGGGGGACGGAGAAGGCUAUGUUGGCCGGGCGACGGUU